GAUGAACGCUGGCGGCGUGCCUAAUACAUGCAAGUAGAACGCUGAAGCUUGGUGCUUGCACCGAGCGGAUGAGUUGCGAACGGGUGAGUAACGCGUAGGUAACCUGCCUGGUAGCGGGGGAUAACUAUUGGAAACGAUAGCUAAUACCGCAUGACAACAGUUAUUGCAUGAUCACUGUUUAAAAGGGGCAAUUGCUCCACUACCAGAUGGACCUGCGUUGUAUUAGCUAGUUGGUGAGGUAACGGCUCACCAAGGCGACGAUACAUAGCCGACCUGAGAGGGUGAUCGGCCACACUGGGACUGAGACACGGCCCAGACUCCUACGGGAGGCAGCAGUAGGGAAUCUUCGGCAAUGGACGGAAGUCUGACCGAGCAACGCCGCGUGAGUGAAGAAGGUUUUCGGAUCGUAAAGCUCUGUUGUAAGAGAAGAACGAGUGUGAGAGUGGAAAGUUCACACUGUGACGGUAUCUUACCAGAAAGGGACGGCUAACUACGUG
rnacentral:rRNA from 1 species